UAGUCUCUAAGGCAGAAUAUACCAACAAAUUAAAUUAGCUGUUUAAUUCAAUCCCCAGGAGACUCAAACUAUACUAUAAUGGAUGUAGAAUAAUGUAACACACCACGAUUGACCUAAGUGACAUGAGGAGUGCACCCUUCCAGUGAUCUGCAAUGCACAGCCUGGUCGCCAUGCAGGUUCUUAAGAUAAACUUAUUCACAGAGGUUGGAAACUCUUCAAUAAUUUAUCUUUGUGACAGAUUCUUCAAUUCCGUACCACAAAAUUCCAUUAACUU